UACGGAGGGUGCAAACGUUGCUCGGAAUCAUUGGGCGUAAAGCGCACGUAGGCGGCUCGUUAAGUCGGAUGUGAAAGCCCUGGGCUCAACCCAGGAAGUGCAUUCGAAACUGGCGAGCUUGAAUAUGGAAGAGGGUCGCGGAAUUCCCGGUGUAGAGGUGAAAUUCGAUAGAUAUCGAGAGGAACACCAGUGGCGAAGGCGAGUCCCUGGACAACACCGUGACACUGAGGCACGGAAAGCUAGGGGAGACAAACAGGAGUUAGAA
rnacentral:rRNA from 1 species